AAACACUGGAGGAGAUUGCUGGGUUGUCUGGCUCAGCACUCUGGCACCGAGGGGCACAUCUGCCAGGUAAAAGGUGGCAGAAACUCUGAGGAAGUCCAAUUCGAGAGGCAGGUUCUUCUUGGCUUCAUCCACCAGCCACAUGAAUUCGAAAUCUGGGAAGAGCUGCUUCACAGCCAGGACGAGCACCUGAAAUCCACCGAGCAAGCUGUCAGUCAGCCCAUGGCGCCCGCCAAGGAAGGUACACUUCCUACCCGCUGGCUGGGUCUCCCCUAGAGGACGCGUAGGAGGGGGGACUGUUUUCCUGGCCUCUGUCCCUAUAACUGUACCAAGUCCAAGAUGAUGAGAAGCGAACCGCAUUCAGAAGUAACCCUGGCGACCGUUGGCUAGGUGCUCCCUGGCUGGGUACCCGGCUUUGAGCUGAGCACUCGUGUUCCUCUGAAUCCACACAAUUAUGGGAGACGUGUAGGUACAUGUCAUGUCACUAAUCAGGGCUCUGAGAGUUCCUGUGAUUUUUCCAAAUCUGCCCAGCAGGGAAGCCUGGGGCCAGCUCCAGGUGGGUCUACCAGGCUCCCAAGGCUUUGAUCAAGACAGCUUCCAUAAACAGUGCUUUGGCCACUCCCAGAUUGGUUCUUGCCGGGUGUUUUGUUGUUUGUUUGGGGGACUGGGGACUAAACUUAGGGCUCUGCACAUGGUAGGCAGGCAAGCUCUCAACAACUGACCGAACCCCUAGCCCAGAGUUGUCCUCCAUCAACUUCUAAAGGGUAGAGGAGGUGCUUCUGCUGGAGCUGCGUGGCUGGGACUGAGGCAGUUACCAGACAUGCGCCGAGCCUGUCUGACUCACAGUUCUGAAAUCAGAAAUCUGAAAUCAGAAAUGCCCCAAGAUCUGAAACUUCCUGAAUGCUCGCAUGACGUCACAGAGGGAAACUUCCACACCUGACCUCAUGACGGGCUGCAUUCGAAACGCAAGAGCACUAAAGUUAUUGUAUAAAAUUACCUUCCGGCUACGAGUGUAAAAUGUAUAUGAGACAUAAAUGAAUUCUGUCUUUAGA